AAUGGGCGCAAGCCUGAUCCAGCCAUGCCGCGUGAGUGACGAAGGCCUUAGGGUCGUAAAGCUCUUUCGCCAGGGAUGAUAAUGACAGUACCUGGUAAAGAAACCCCAGCUAACUCCGUGCCAGCAGCCGCGGUAAUACGGAGGGGGUUAGCGUUGUUCGGAAUUACUGGGCGUAAAGCGCACGUAGGCGGAUUGGAAAGUUGGGGGUGAAAUCCCAGGGCUCAACCCUGGAACUGCCUCCAAAACUAACAGUCUAGAGUUCGAGAGAGGUGAGUGGAAUUCCGAGUGUAGAGGUGAAAUUCGUAGAUAUUCGGAGGAACACCAGUGGCGAAGGCGGCUCACUGGCUCGAUACUGACGCUGAGGUGCGAAAGUGUGGGGAGCAAACAGGAUU
rnacentral:rRNA from 1 species